rnacentral:lncRNA from 1 species
GAUUGGACUCCUGCUGCAGAUUAAGACAUCUUAUUAUCACCUCACUACAUGAGAUCCUUGCAGAAAAGAAGCUUUCUGCCUCAUCUCACGUUUAUGCUAUUGUAUAUAUACUUGUUAUAUUCUGGAACAAGUUUCUGGCAACAUGCUACGCAUGAGUGGAAGGAGGCAGAGAAGACUUCUUGGAGGACUGAGAGCUGGGACAGGCACUGUGGCUGCUGCAAGCCCUCUGAGUGGUCCUGUUUUCUGCAAACAAGACAAAGCAAGGAAAUGGGCCAUCAUCUCUGCCUUUCAGUGCAGCAUGUCCUCUGUCCUCUUGACAGGUACUAAGACCUACACAAAUGUAACAAAACAGAGGCAGUGACCAAAGAAUGCAGCGUCAGGAUAUGCGGGGGAAGACAAUUAAACAGUGAUGUUUUAUACGGGCAGUCACAGUUUUGGUGCGUCUCCUGUCUAAUCACUGCUGGACGAUCACUCCUCAUAGGCAUCACAGCCGGUCUGAUUGAAACUUCCACCACUGCUUCACACUUCCCAUCCCUUUAUUGCUUCUCUGUAUGGAAGGAUACCUUCUAUUUUUCACUUUAUUUCACUCCUUAGAAACCUCUUCAUUUUCAAACUAAAUUCUCUUUUAACACAAAUACAUCUCCAAAUUGUUUUUUCUUGAAUUUAAUGAUAUCAGUGAAAUCUCAGCGAAAACAGCAAUAAGCAGUUGUUCUCAAAAAAGAAACACAAAAUCCAACCAAAACUGCUAAAACCAGGCAUAAGUAGACAAAGCUUCUUUACUUACAUAUUGAGUUUGACUUAUAUUCUCUGCUUUGUAUACUUGUAAUCUCCUAAAAAAAAGCUGUUUAUCUUCUCCUGUAUUUCACUGCUUUGCCUACUUGGUUGAAAGUGAACAAAUACAGUAGCAGUGUAUAAUAAAACUACUGGAUUUAAC